rnacentral:lncRNA from 1 species
CCCCAUGGACUGCAGCAUGCCAGGCUCUCCUGUCCAUCACCAGUUCCCAGAGUUUGCUCAAACUUGUGUCCAACUCAUCACCAACUCAUCAAGUUGGUGAUGUCAUCCAACCAUCUCAUCCUCUGUUGUCACCUUCUCCUCCUACCUUCAAUCUUUUACAGCAUCCGGGUCUUUCCCAAUGAGUCAGCUCUUCACAUCAGGUGGCCAAAGUAUUGGAGCUUCAGCUUCAGCAUCAGUCCUUCCAAUGAAUAUUCAGAGUUGGUUUCCUUUAGGAUUGACUGGUUUGAUCUCCUUCAGGAGCUAUCUAUCGGUUCUGUACAAACAGGAUGAAGGGCAUUUAUGGCAAAGCCCUGAAGAGGGUGGACCACGGCUGAAGAUCCAUCAUCCAAUCAUAGAUCCCUGCUGCUUAUAAUCUAACUAUGCCCAUCUCCUGGAAGAUGAAGGUUCUGGGGCUGUCUGAAGAUAGUCUGUGGGUUUUAUGAAACAGAAAAUCUUUGCGAAGAUAUAUCAGGUGUAAAUCCCUGGGAGGUAAGAAGUAACUACCCCUGUGGGGGCAAUAAUCAUACAAUCUUGCUUUCCAUCUUUGCUGAGAAUGAAGGUGGUGAUGGACAUAUUUGUUCUAGUGAGAAAAUAAUGGGAUUUAGAGGGUAAGAGCUCUUGAAUCUUGAUUUACUUUGUGGGACCAUUUAUUUACCUUCUUUGAAACUCAUCUUUUUCUCAUCUGUAGAAUGGGUGUGAGAAUCACACGGAAUAAUGUAUAGAGAGUAUAGAGAGCUCCUUCUCAUCUGUAAAGUCAUGAUGGUUAAUUAUUGCCAUGAAAAUCACAUUAGGAACAACUGAUUUUUGCCAUCCAGUGGCCAGAUGGGGGUAAAUAGAUUUCCUCUGGGCUCAAUAGUUUCUGCCUCAGAUAAUCACCUCUUAAGAGUUCUUUGGUUGGCACUUGAAGAUCAGAAAUUUCUUUGAAAGCAAUUUAAUCACUCUGUGAAUAAACUGAAAAAUAUAUUUCA